AACGAACGCUGGCGGCAUGCCUAACACAUGCAAGUCGAGCGAACCCUUCGGGGUGAGUGGCGCACGGGUGCGUAACACGUGGGAACCUGCCCUUAGGUUCGGAAUAACACAGAGAAAUUUGUGCUAAUACCGGAUAAUGUCUUCGGACCAAAGAUUUAUCGCCUUUGGAUGGGCCCGCGUAGGAUUAGCUAGUUGGUGAGGUAAAGGCUCACCAAGGCGACGAUCCUUAGCUGGUCUUAGAGGAUGAUCAGCCACACUGGGACUGAGACACGGCCCAGACUCCUACGGGAGGCAGCAGUGGGGAAUAUUGGACAAUGGGCGAAAGCCUGAUCCAGCAAUGCCGCGUGAGUGACGAAGGCCUUAGGGUUGUAAAGCUCUUUUACCUGGGAUGAUAAUGACAGUACCAGGAGAAUAAGCCCCGGCUAACUCCGUGCCAGCAGCCGCGGUAAAAC
rnacentral:rRNA from 1 species